rnacentral:rRNA from 1 species
UACGAAGGGGGCUAGCGUUGUUCGGAAUUACUGGGCGUAAAGCGCACGUAGGCGGAUCUUUAAGUCAGGGGUGAAAUCCCGAGGCUCAACCUCGGAACUGCCUUUGAUACUGGGGAUAUCGAGUCCGGGAGAGGUGAGUGGAACUGCGAGUGUAGAGGUGAAAAUUCGUAGAUAUUCGCAAGAACACCAGUGGCGAAGGCGGCUUACUGGUCCGGUACUGACGCUGAGGUGCGAAAGCGUGGGGAGCAACAGGG